GGUUCUAUAGUGUAGCAGUUAUCACGGCUGCUUUACAUGCAGAAGGUCCUGGGUUCGAGCCGCAGUGGAACCA
rfam:Gorilla gorilla gorilla genomic chromosome, chr5, whole genome shotgun sequence